GGUAUCUACAGUAGUCAAAUUCAGAAGCAGAAAGCAGAGGUUACCAGGGGCUGGAGGAAGUGGGGAAUGGGAUGCCACUGCUUAGAGGGUAUAGAGUUUUCAUCAGGAAAGAUGAAAAGUUCUGGAGAUGGAUAGUGGUGCUGGUUCCACAACAAUGUGAAUGUAUGUAAAUGCCUCCAAAAAAUUAUACACUAAAAAUGGCUAAAAUGGCAAUUUUAUGUUAUGUAUGUGGUAUACACACACACACACACACACACACACACACACAACAUUACAAUUAAAAAAAAAGACACCUAAAGAAUUACAUUUCAACUAUUUGGGAAAUCCUUAUGUCUGAAAAUUAAGCAGUGAAUUUGUAAAUUCUGACAGGUCAAAGAAGAAAUCACAAUGGAAUGAGAUAAUAUUUUAUGUGUUAUAACCAAGGCAAUGCUUAGAGGAAAUUACAUAGCUUUAAAUGUUUUUACAGUAGAUAAGAAUGGCCCAUAAUCUGUGACCUUUGUUUCCACCUUAAGAAGUCAGACAAAGAAGAUCAAAUUAAAACCAAAGUGGCGGAUCCUCUUCCUGAUAAAGUGGAGUAGGCCUGUUCCACCAUGUCUCUUUCACUGACAAACCUGAACAGAAAGCAUGAAGCAAUUAUUUGAGGGCCCUGAAAAGUAAACAGUAGCAGGUGAACUGGGGAGGAAGACCAAAAUCCAAAGUACCACUGAACCAGUGGUGAGCUUACCUGUUUUUCCUCAGCUGUCUUCUGUAUUAAACUUAUACAGCAAUCUGAAAACAGGCACUGAGGCAGGAGAAGGCAGAGGAGGUUCUCCAGGAAAAGCUCUAGGGCCGGUUCAUGGAGCAGGAAAAGGACUUCUAAUGUUUAGAGACAGCAGGGGGAAUUGCCUAUUUUCUUCCUUUUCUUUAUUCUGUUACACCCCAGCACCUAAGCAAUCCUCUGGUGGCUGCUGCAACAGCAGCGCCACUGCGAGCUGACAGGAGCCCAAAACCAUGAGGAGAGGGUCCUUCUUCCCCAAGCAAGGGAGCUGUGGUCCCAAGAAGGGUAGUGAGAAGCCCCACUUCAUCUUCUCUUUCUUUGUCCUCCUGCUGCUUGGCUCUGCAUAAGGACAGUCACUGGAAGUCACAGCAAAGUGGGGCAACUACAGGCCCCUGCACUGUAGCCAGAAGAGUAAAAAGGAGAGCCACAGGGAACCUGAAACUACUGCGGACAUAGACAGGGAAGAAUUUGGGAAAAUCACCCUGGAAGUUAUUUAAGAACUCCUGGGCUCACCUGUGAGAUACGUAUGCAUGAAUCUGACCCCCUAAGCAGCAUACAUGGACUUUGAGAAUAAGAGGGUCUGCUGCUUAAAUUCCAUAUUGGCCACAGAGUGACACACAUGUGAGCAAGAUUCAAGCAACAAUGUGAAGUCUCUGACAACUAAACUGACAUAGAAACCACAACCCACAGAAAGCUGUUUGGACUUGGUAGUCUGAGCUCAAUGAGGUUGACUACCUGCUAAAACAGAAAUACCAACAUUUUCUUUUGGAUUUCAAGAAGUCAUAGAGUUUUAUAACAUUACAUUCUAAAUGCCCAUGAUGCCUUUUGAAGUCACUGAGAAUAUAAAGACCCAGGAGCAUUUCGACUUACAUGGGAAAAGAUAACCAACAGACAUCAAGUGAGAUGAUACCAUGAUCUUACAAGGACUUUAAAACAGCUGCCUUACUUGUUCCAACAAGUAGGGUGAACACACUCUAAAGAAAUGGAAAUAAAAUCUCAGCAAAGAAAAUGAGCAUAUAAAAAAGAACUAAGUGGAAA